UGUGAACAGUAGCCCACCGGCGCCACUGCAGUAUGCGACUAGCUUUGGCGUCACCUUAUUGGCAUGUGGUGAUCUAGCUGCGCGAACAGAUAGUACCGCGAAAAUACGCCGAGAUCUUUGAAAUUGUACACAAAAAUACAUGUGGUUGUGAAAUGUGAAUAGUAGCGUGUGUAGGAAUUUGAGGUUAUGUGAAACUUGAUUGCGUGUGUAUUGGAAACUGCGCAGACAUAAUUAUUGUGCUUUUGCGGAAUAAGUUACCCGAUGAGAAGUAUUCACUUGUACCAGAAAUGCUUCCGGAGUGUCUGUUUUGACACUAUAGUGCAUCCCAAACAGCUGAAGAAAUUUGCCUCUAGGUCUUACACUUCUCAUAACAAAUUUAAAAUGGGUGAUAGUUUACAGAGUGACAACAGUGAAGCCAGAGAGACAGCUCUCCAUCCACCAGCUACUGUUCGUGGGCUAACAAAAUUAGACAAAGUAGCUUUUUCGAAAAAUGUUGUGGUCCCUUGUAUAGAGUUUAAUGUCACAUCUGUGAAAUUACAGGAACUAAGGAAAACCGUGCAUAAAUAUUUAUUAAGAAUGGAAAACUUGAAACCAUUGCAAGUUAUCGGAAAUGCAGAAGCUGCUAAUGAUGAUGCGAAAAGUGUAAUGCGGAGAUUUCUGUUAAAUCCUACAAUUAUAACUUCUUUUAAUGACUUCUCAGAAGAAGAAAAAAUACAAUUGUUGAAACAAAACAUUACCGAAAAUUCUCUUUGUUUCACGAAUAUAAUGUUGAAUUUUGACAAUUGGAAAGCAGAGGUGUUGCUGAAGUCUGUGUUGCCUUUAGACUUGGAGCCACUCACUUCAUACUCGAUUAUUGGGCACAUUAUCCAUGUGAAUAUACGAGAACAUCUCUUCCCAUUUAAGAUUAUCAUUGGAGAAAUAUUGUUGGAAAAAAUUAAGAACGCUAAAACAGUUGUUAAUAAGACUGACAUCAUUGACAACACCUACAGGAACUUCAAAAUGGAAAUUCUGUGUGGGGAGAACAAUCUGAUUACUCAAGUAAGAGAGAAUCACUGUACAUUUGAGCUUGACUUCGCCACAGUUUAUUGGAAUCCUCGCUUGUCUACAGAGCAUGAGAGAAUAAUAACUAAGCUAAAGCCACGUGACGUAUUGUAUGAUGUGUUCGCAGGGAUCGGUCCAUUCGCAAUACCUGCGUGCAAACGUAAAUGUUUUGUUUUGGCAAAUGAUUUGAAUCCUGAGGCGCACAAGUGGCUUGUACGUAAUGGGCAGCUAAACAAGGUGUCAGAAUAUUUGACAACAUUCAAUAAGGAUGGAACAGAUUUCAUAAUAAAUGACGUUAAGAAAGAUAUGCUUGAACGCUGGAAGAAUGGAAAAUGUGAUGGUAGUACAAUGCACAUUACAAUGAACUUGCCAGCAUUGGCAGUAACGUUUCUGAAGGUGUUCAGUGGACUAUUUGAACAGGGUGACAAUGUGCCACCUGAUACGUUCAUUGAACCAGUUGUUCAUGUGUACUGCUUUUGCAAAGGUGACACUUCAGAUAAUGCAGCUAUCAGUUUGGUGGAAGAGAACUUGGGCCAUAAAAUUUCACAGAAUCUUUUAGAAGUCUACAACAUUAGAAAUGUUGCAGUGAACAAAGAUAUGAUGCGUGUUACAUUUAAGCUUACGAAAGAAAUUCUAGUUAACAAUCAGUCUAGAGACUUGUGUCAAGAUGGAGAACCAUCCAUGAAACGACGACGACCAGACUCUGAUGAUGGGGAAGGAAAAACAUAACAAAAAGAGUAAAAACAGUGUCUUUAAGGUUGCUGGUGCAAAGAGCUUAAAAGUGAAAAAUAAGGCUAAACCAGUGAACACUCAGUUGAAAAAGAUAAGUGAAAUAAAUCGCAAAAUGAUAAAAGACAUUGAUAAUCAGCUGGUAGAACUACAUACACAGCUGACACAGCCCUCAAAAACUGCAGCUCAGAAGACAGAGGAGAAAAGGCCUCUGCCUUCUGUCAGUCUACAGAAGGCACCAGUGGAAACUACAGAAGCAACAGAAAAAGUUUGUGCAAUGAAGCUCUGAACUUUUUUGUGUUAUCUUUUGUGUCUGGUGAAUAAAUGUUUUUAUGACUGUUGUUGAUCACGCUAAUGAAUACAAAUUUCUAUUUUAGAGUGA